rnacentral:rRNA from 1 species
CGGUAAUACAGAGACUGCAAGCGUUAUCCGAAUUUACUGGGCGUAAAGCGCGUGCAGGCGGUCUGAUAAGUUGGAUGUGAAAGCUCCUGGCUCAACUGGGAGAGGCCGUUCAAAACUAUCAGACUAGAGGGCGGUAGAGGGAGGUGGAAUUCCCGGUGUAGUAGUGAAAUGCGUAGAUAUCGGGAGGAACACCAGUGGCGAAAGCGGCCUCCUGGACCGUUCCUGACGCUCAGACGCGAAAGCUAGGGGAGCGAACGGGAUUAGAAACCCCGGUAGUCCUAGCAGUAAACGAUGCGAACUUGGUGUCGGUGGGGUAAAAUCCGCCGGUGCCGGAGCUAACGCGUUAAGUUCGCCGCCUGGGGACUACGGCCGCAAGGUUAAA